rnacentral:rRNA from 1 species
GACGAACGCUGGCGGCGUGCCUAAUACAUGCAAGUCGAGCGAAGUUUUUCUGGUGCUUGCACUAGAAAAACUUAGCGGCGAACGGGUGAGCAACACGUAAAGAACCUGCCUCAUAGACGGGGACAACUAUGGGAAACGAUAGCUAAUACCGGAUAACAGUAUUUCUCGCAUGAGAGAUAUUUAAAAGUUGGUUAUGCUAACACUAUGAGAUGGCUUUGCGGUGCAUUAGCUAGUUGGUGGGGUAAAGGCCCACCAAGGCGACGAUGCAUAGCCGACCUGAGAGGGUGAUCGGCCACACUGGGACUGAGAUACGGCCCAGACUCCUACGGGAGGCAGCAGUAGGGAAUCUUCCGCAAUGGGCGAAAGCCUGACGGAGCAACGCCGCGUGAGUGAAGAAGGAUUUCGGUUCGUAAAGCUCUGUUGUUAGGGAAGAAUGGAUGUGUAGUAACUAUACAUGUAAGAGACGGUACCUAACCAGAAAGCCACGGCUAACUACGUG